AAUAUUGCACAAUGGGCGAAAGCCUGAUGCAGCAACGCCGCGUGAGGUAUGAAGGCUUUCGGGUCGUAAAGCGCUUGGAUCAGGGAAGAUAAUGACGGUACCUGAAAAAAAAGCCACUGUUAACUACGUUCCUGCAGCCGCGGUAAUACGUAGGUGGCGAGCGUUGUCCGGAAUUACUGGGCGUAAAGGAUGCGUAGGUGGAUACUUAAGUGGGAAGUGAAAUCACCGGGCUCAAACCGGGAACUGCAUUCCAAACUGGGUAUCGAGAGUGCAGGAGAGAAAAGCGGAAUUCCUAGUGUAGCGGUGAUAUGCGUAGGUAUUAGGAGGAACACCAGUGGCGAAGGCGGCUUUCUGGACUGUAACUGACAAUGAGGCAUGAAAGCGUGGGUAGCAAACAGG
rnacentral:rRNA from 1 species